GACCCUGGGGACGCUGAGGCCAGGUCGGAGCGUCCUUCCGGGUUUCGUCCGCACGGAAGGGCUUGCUGGUCAUGGGGCUUGGUUCCUGCACGCCCCUAUCUAGCUGCUGAGCCAGAAAUGAAUUCCUGUUACCGUGUCUGGGGGCGUUCUGGGCACUGGCGGGGAGGCGUUGAGCACUUCCCUGAGCCCCACCACUCAAUGCCAGGAGCCCCCUCAGUCAUGACAACCGCAGAUGUCCCAAGACCCCACCCCGUGUCCCGCAAAUGUCAUGUUUUCCUUUCUGUCUACUCUGAGCGCACCUGCAAAUGUCGUCUGUCUGUGAGGAAGGAGACCCUGCGCCCGGAGGCUCCGGGUCCGCGGAGGUGCUGCCGGCCGCCCUCCAGCACCUCGCUGGGGACCACGGCAGAAAUCAGGCCGCGGAAGAUCCGUCUGUGAGAGGCGAGGGACCCCUUGACGGCAGGCAGCGCGAUCGCCGACCCCCGGUGGACGGAGGACAAACACGGUGCGGCCCGUCCACACGCUGGGGUAUCACCCAGCUUCAGGAAGGAAGGACGUCCUGCCACCUGCCAUCACGUGGACGGACCCGGAGGACGCCGUGCGCAGUGACAGAAGCCAGACACAGGACACGUCCUGCGUGACCCCACUCACAGGGAGUCCCUAGAGAGUCCUGUCCACAGAGACACAGAGUAGAUGGUGGGGGCCAGGGUGGGGCGAGUGGGGGGAGUCUGUGCUUCGUGGGGACAGAGCCUCAGUUUGGGGAGAUGGAAAGUUCUGGAGACGGAUGGUGGGGGUGCCGGCACGACAGUGUGAGCGUGCUUGAUGCCGCUGAGCUGUGUGCUUGGAAAGGGCUAAGAUGGUGAAUUUUAUGUUACGUGUAUUUUACCACAAUAAAAAAUUAAUGUAUAAAAGUC